CUCAGAACGAACGCUGGCGGCGCGCCUUAAGCAUGCAAGUCGGACGGCAAGGGUUGUGCUUGCACAACUCCUAGAGUGGCGGACUGGUGAGUAACGCGUGGGUGACCUGCCCUCGAGAUGGGGAUAGCCAUUAGAAAUAGUGGAUAAUACCGAAUACGCUCAUGACCCUGUGGGAUAUGAGGAAAACAGGCUACGGCCUGGCUCGAGGAUGGGCCCGCGUCCCAUUAGCUAGUUGGUGAGGUAACGGCCCACCAAGGCGACGAUGGGUAUCCGGCCUGAGAGGGUGUACGGACACAUUGGGACUGAGAUACGGCCCAAACUCCUACGGGAGGCAGCAGCUAAGAAUAUUCCGCAAUGGACGAAAGUCUGACGGAGCGACGCCGCGUGGAUGAAGAAAGGCCGGAAGGUUGUAAAAUCCUUUUGCUGAUGAAGAAUAAGUGUGGUAGGGAAUGACCGCAUGAUGACAUUAGUCGGUGAAUAAGCCCCGGCUAACUACGUGCCAGCAGCGGC
rnacentral:rRNA from 1 species